AGCAGCAAGCUCCGUCCACCCCUUUUUUUGAAAAGAGAUAGAAAAUAAAAGAAAGGGGUGUUCACUUUCUGCUGGGUAGUUUGGCAAUAGAGCUCAGAGCUGUGGUCUUUUAAGAUACAUUUACAAACAUAUGCUGGUGCAUCUAAGCAGAAGAGUUCUGAUUUCACUUUGGGUUCUCCGUGACGCAUUCUAAGGAGAAACAGCAAUGCAGAGAGAAACAGGCAGAGGAACACAGCAGAGGCUACACAGGCCUCGGGUUUGCGAAAAAGACGUUUCAGUGCUGCUCUGUUGUGGGCAAGUCUGACCUACUUUGCGUCCUCUGUCAUCUGCUUUGGUAUCUAAAUAAGACUUCCUAGCCACUGAGAUCAGACUGCUAUCCAGUUAUUUGAAGAUCUGUUAUCUCCUGAUGGGAGAUGCUGUCUUCCCACUCUUCACAGCUCACAGCUCUUGGCCCGCUCCUUCGCUUAACAGUCACUCAUCUGUGUGAGGGCCAGGGACUUGCUGUGUGGCCAGGAAGUGUGCCGCCUCCAACCCAGGAAAGUGUGGACAGAUGGACGGACGUACAGAUGUGUGCAGACCAUCCUGUUGUUCCUGUUCCUAACCUCCGAGGCCCCAGUAAUUCCUACUGCCUGCCUUGCUGGAGUUAUUGACAGAACGAGAGGCUGGGUCAGGUGUGUGUCUGCAAGACUGCUUCCUGGGUGGACUCUGAAGACAAGGUCUGCGAGCACUCAGGAGGCUCCAGCAUUUGGCGGGAACUAACAAUGCUCAGAAACUAACCCGGCCCAAGGAGAAAGCCCAGAGCCUGCAGCUGAGAAGCAAAUCCAAAAAUCAUAGAAAAAUGGUAAGACAGGGCAGAGUGCUGGAGUACACACUUCCCAAGAACAGAAACCACUCUCCGCCUGAGCCCAGUGCAAAUGUCUUCUCACCUCUGAACAGUAAUGGUAAAUGUUUAACAACUAGCUCUCUGGGGAGAAAAAGAAUAAGCCCUGCUUUGCUAUUCCUGUGGUGUAAACACUCCCCUGUGGCUGAUUUCAAGCCACCACUGUGAAGUUGCUGAACUAGGGGCUGGGAAGAGACAUGGGUACUGGCUCCAGCACGCCUCUGCAGGCACUUCUGCCUUUUUCUGCUGAAAUCAUGGGUUAGAUGCCCACACGUCUGUCUCUCCAGGGAGACUGUAAGCAUGACGAGGGCAAAGGGAGUGUCCUGUAGUCCCCGCAUCAUUCAUAGUGCCAGGCACAGUGCCCCACAAUACAAAGUCCCCCAUAAAUUGUCCCUCGAUUGCGUCACCACAUUGUUUUUAGUGUUGCAGUUGUUAGUAUUGUUAGUUAACGUUUAUUGACUGAAAUUUACUCUUGUUUGGGGUUUUUUUUGAGGCAAGCGUCUCAUUCUGUAGCCCAGACUGGAGUGCAGUGGCAUGAUCUCUGCUCACUGCAACUUCUGCUUCCUGGGUUCAAGAGAGUCUCAUGCCUCAGCCACCUGAGUAGCUGGGAUUACAGGUGCACGCCAUCAUACAGGCUACUUUUUCUUUUUAUUUUUUUGAGAUGGAGUCUUGCUCUGUCGCCCAGGCUGGAGUGCAGUGGUGCAAUCUUGGCUCACUGCAACCUCUGCCGCCAGGUUGAAAGGAUUCUUCUGCCUCAGCCUCCCAAGUAGCUGGGACUAGAGGUGUGUGCCACCAUGCUUGGCUAAUUUUUUGUAUUUUUAGUAGAGAAGGGGUUUCACCGCGUUAGCCAGAUGGUCUCAAUCUCCUGACCUCAUGAUCCACCCACCUUGGCCUUUCAAAGUGCUGGAAGCACAGGUGUGAGCCACCGCGCCCAGCCUAAUUUUUUGUAUUUUUAGUAGAGAUGGCGUUUCGCCGUGUUGGCCAGGCUGGUCUUGAAUUCCUGACCUCAAGUGAUCCGUCGGCCUUGACCUACCAAAGUGUUGGGAUUAUAGGUGUGAGUCACUGCACCCGGACUAAAAUUUAUUCUUAUAAUAGCUUCACUUGUAUUAUUUCAUUUGGUGAUGACAAAUGUAAGCCUGUAUUAGAGAGAAUUAAUAUGUUUUUGAAAGAAUUGAAGAGUUUUCCUCAUUUGAUAUCUGGAAACCAGGAAAGAAUGUUUACUUAUGCUCUCGCCUCGUCUCCUCUUGCUCUUCCCUGCUUCGCAGAGCGCUUCUUCCUCCUUGUUCUGUCUCCUCUUCCUACCCAUUGCUUCUCUUCUCUCUUUUUAAUUUUUGUGUAUAUACAAAUAUUUGCAAAUAAUUCUCAAUCAUUAGAGUGAGAACAUUUUUCUUUAUUCCACUUACAAGGAUCAGCAUCAUCUCCUUGCAAAAACAAAUCUUUUGUGUGUUUCCCUUAUCAAGUAGUUAGAGGAAUCCAAAUGUCUUCUCAAAUCAAAUUUCAUAACCCUCCUGGCCAUGAAGCCUCAGAACACCAGAUAAAGGAUGAGCCAGAGUGGCAGAUGACAGGACCACAUUUCUUUCUUUUUCUUUUUUUUUUGAGACAGUCUUACUCUGUCGCCAGGCUGGAGGGCAGUAGCACAAUCUCAGCUCACUGCAAUCUCCGCCUCCCAGGUUCAAGCAAUUCCCCUGCCUCAGCCUCCCAAGUAGCUGAGACUACAGGCAUGUACCACCAUGCCCGGCUAAUUUUUUGUAUUUUAGUAGAGAUGGAGUUUCACCAUGUUGGCCAGGAUGGUCUUGAUCUCCUGACCUCAUGAUCCACCUGCCUCGGCCUCCCAAAGUGAUGGGAUUACAGGCAUGAGCCACCACACCCGGCAGGACCACAUUUUUUUCAGGCCUUUGCCAACCUGCAAAGGUUCUCUGGACAGUGCUCUGAAGGGUCCUGGAAGGCUCAGUGACCCAGGAGGCCAGAGACGAAGGAUCAUUCUGGCUCAACUACAGAAUUACAUCGCUGUGGGCAAAUCAUUUCCCCCAUAUUCAUUUAACAUUUGAAAAACUUUCAUGUUUUAAUGUAUUUAUCAAUCACUUGGGAAUAUCAACAUAUUUU